UUGCUAGCGAAAGCCGGCAGUACCGCUGCUGCGACAACAACAAACCUAAUCCACACAAAGGAACUUAACUAAGCUCAACCACAAAAACCAAAUUCUCAACGAUGGAUAUCUUGGUUCCCAUAACGAUGAAGAACGCAGCGAAGUGCGAUAAGCAAUGCGAAUUGCAGAACCGUGAGUCAUCAGAUUUUUGAACGCAACUGGCGCCGGCUGGCUCUCCAGUCGGCAUGCUUGUUUCAGUGUCUCUUUAUCUCAUCACCCAAAUCUUAAUGCGAGAGAUACCCUUCUCUCGUUAAGCAUGAAAGCACUCUGCGCUCUGCGAGCGGUUUCGACUUGUUCGAGAUCGCACUCAAUGCAGCGGUCACAUUCUCGCAAUGUGAACUCAUUGAGAGCAGAGGCAGUGCAGUCUAACAACUGCCAGUGCUUAGACACUCAA
rnacentral:misc_RNA from 1 species